GACGAACGCUGGCGGCGUGCUUAACACAUGCAAGUCGAACGGAAAGGCCCCCUUGUGGGGUACUCGAGUGGCGAACGGGUGAGUAACACGUGAGUAACCUACCCUUGACUUUGGGAUAACUUCAAGAAACUGGGGCUAAUACCGGAUAGGAGCUCCUGCUGCAUGGUGGGGGUUGGAAAGUUUCGGCGGUUGGGGAUGGACUCGCGGCUUAUCAGCUUGUUGGUGGGGUAGUGGCUCACCAAGGCUUUGACGGGUAGCCGGCCUGAGAGGGUGACCGGCCACAUUGGGACUGAGAUACGGCCCAGACUCCUACGGGAGGCAGCAGUGGGGAAUAUUGCACAAUGGGCGGAAGCCUGAUGCAGCAACGCCGCGUGCGGGAUGACGGCCUUCGGGUUGUAAACCGCUUUCGCCUGUGACGAAGCGUGAGUGACGGUAAUGGGUAAAGAAGCACCGGCUAACUACGUG
rnacentral:rRNA from 1 species